GCUGGAAUGGCCGAGUAGUUAAGGCGAGUGAUUUGAAUGAAGGCAGUUUACGUUGAUGAUUACGUAACCCCAAAAUUAUCACUUGGUGUUUCACCGCGUAGGUUCAAAUCCUGCUUCCAGCG